CAUCUUCCAACCGUUUCAGAAAUGAACACAUGACAUUUCAGCCGCAGGUUUCUGAGACGACUGAUAAAUAAAUGCAUCUGGUAGUUUAUUUAAUUAAUAAGGUCUUUGUUAUUAUUAAAUAUAAUAUACAAAGAAGAAAACGAAGCGGUGUUUAAAGAAUGAUUAUUGUUAUUGUAAGUUACAUGAGCCGCAGGAGGAAAACAGGCAGUAAUACCAGUUUCAUUUCUGACUCCAUUCGUCAGAACUUCCUCUUAGAUCAAAAUAAAACUGUAUUUUAAUCGCAUGUCACACAAUAAGGUCCACAAAGCUGCAGAGAUGUUUCCUCUCUACUUUGUCCUCGUCGCUGGAAGCUUCUGUCUCAGCUCUGCUGACAUUCAUCAAGAGACUGUGCUGCAGAACACGGUGGCUACACUUCCCUGUCCUCACAAGAAAGGAGAUGUCAUAUGGAGCCGGUAUCUGUCUGGUGACCGGGCGACUCUUGUCACCAUUAAAAAUGGCCUCGAGAAAAAAAAAGACAGACGCUAUGGUUCCCUGGCAGAUAAUUCACUGGUGAUAACAAAUGUUACAUCAUUUGAUACUACGACGUAUUUUUGUAAUGAUUUUCGAGUAUAUCUGGAAGUGACAUCAGAUCCCAGCCCCGUGAUCCCUAAAGCUGGAAAUGUACCAGUUACACCAAGAACCGAUGGACCAGGCCAGAAGGGAAUCACUACAGAGGCAGAGAACCACCAACCAGACUCUUGGAAAGUACCCGUUGGUGUAGUCGUGGUUGCUGCGAUGCUGCUUUUUGUGACUUUAAUCCUGAGAUUCUGCUCUAAAAACAGAGAAGAGAGAAACCCCAAAAUGGACAAAACUGCACCCGAGGUGAUUUACGCGGAGAUAGAAGAUGUUGAGGAGCAGCCAGGGAGGGAGUCUUAUUUUGAAAGUCCGUACUACUGGACAAGAAUCAGUGAAACGCCAAGCACAAGCACCCCCCCCAGUAAUACUCUGUACAGCACUGCUCUGUACAGCACUGUUAACAAGCGACCAGCUGGAGGACACAGCAGGGAGGAGUGUGUGUAUUCCCUGGCCCAAAAUCCAGAAUCCAAAGGAAUGUAGUUAUCUUUUAAUCUGAUAUUAUUUCCAGUGCAGCAUCAGUGAUAUUGGUGAGAAGAGGUGUCUGCACAGAGCCCAAAGGAUAUUUAAAGACAACACCCGCCCCAGCAACAGCCCGUUUCCUCCUGCUGACAUCUGGCAAGCGAUGCAGAAGUAUCCACUCCUGUACCACCAGACUACAGAGCAGUUUCUUUCCUCAGACAUCCUCUGUACGCCGCCAUUAAAAUAAAACAUUUUUUUCUUGUGAAGCAUUUCUUUGUGCAACUCUGUGUUGUUGUAGAAUUAGUGACAAUAAAUUGAUGCAACCUUGA
rnacentral:lncRNA from 1 species